AGCGAACGCUGGCGGCAGGCUUAGCACAUGCAAGUCGAACGCCCCGCAAGGGGAGUGGCAGACGGGUGAGUGACACGUGGGAACGUACCCUUUGGUUCGGAAUAACUUGGGGAAACUCAAGCUAAUACCGGAUAAGCCCUUAUGGGGAACGGUUUACUGCCGAAGGAUCGGCCCGCGUCUGAUUAGCUAGUUGGUGAGGUAAUGGCUCACCAAGGCGACGAUCAGUAGCUGGUCUGAGAGGAUGAUCAGCCACACUGGGACUGAGACACGGCCCAGACUCCUACGGGAGGCAGCAGUGGGGAAUAUUGGACAAUGGGGGCAACCCUGAUCCAGCCAUGCCGCGUGAGUGAUGAAGGCCUUAGGGUUGUAAAGCUCUUUUACCCGGGACGAUAAUGACUGUACCGGGAGAAUAAGCCCCGGCUAACUUCGUGCCAGCCGCCGCCGUAA
rnacentral:rRNA from 1 species